rnacentral:rRNA from 1 species
UACGUAGGGGGCAAGCGUUGUCCGGAAUUAUUGGGCGUAAAGCGCGCGCAGGCGGUCGUUUAAGUCUGAUGUUUAAACCCAGGGCUCAACCUUGGGUCGCAUUGGAAACUGGGCGACUGGAGUGCAGGAGAGGAAAGUGGAAUUCCACGUGUAGCGGUGAAAUGCGUAGAGAUGUGGAGGAACACCAGUGGCGAAGGCGACUUUCUGGCCUGUAACUGACGCUGAGGCGCGAAAGCGUGGGGAGCGAACAGG